rfam:Zootermopsis nevadensis contig9192, whole genome shotgun sequence.
CACGGUGGUUUAGCGGUUAGAACGCUGGCCUUGUAAUCCUGGGGUCUCGGGUUCGAUUCCCGGCGGUG